AGGACUGUACUCGUACAGGAUCACUUCUAUAGUGAUUUUUCCUCUUUUACUUUAUCAAAAAAGGCGAUAACCCGCUCUAGGAUGAUGAAUCGUGCACUUGCAGCCGCUAUGGGAUAUCUCAAUCAAGGAGGUUUACCUCCUUGUCAUUGGGCGAUGACCUCUGGCUUAUAAGCUUAUGGCUUGCAAGUGGGUCUGACUAGU